rnacentral:misc_RNA from 1 species
UUUCCGUAGGUGAACCUGCGGAAGGAUCAUUAAAAAAUUGGACUCCAUUGGUGAGUUCAUUAAUAAUCCCUACCCUUUGUGAAUUUGUUUGUUUGAAUAAUUUUUUUUCCAAAAAAAAUUAUUGAAUGUCUUUCCUUGUUUUGGUGGAGCUUGUAAAGUGAAACCAGGCAGGGGAAUGGCAAACAAUAAUUAUUUUUGAAAAAGACCUUUUUUUAAAAUUAAACUUUUUGUAUUCAUUUGUCUAAAAUUAAUUUUUAUAAUAUAAAAACAACUUUUGACAAUGGAUCUCUUGGUUCUCGCAACGAUGAAGAACGCAGCAAAAUGCGAUAAGUAGUGUGAAUUGCAGAAUACGUGAAUCAUCGAAUCUUCGAACGCAUAUUGCACUUUUUUAGUUUACUAAAAAAGUAUGUCUGUUUGAGUAUCAGUAAAAUAUUCUCAUAAAAAACAUUGUUUUUUUUAUGGUUAUGAGUGUUUUACAACGAUAACAAGUUGUUUCACUUUAAAUUCUUUGUUAUCAAAAAAAUCAUUAAAAGCUAAUUUUAAAGAUUUUUUAAAAUUGGAUAAAAUUUUCCCGUAAAAAGGAAUAACCUAAACAAUUUUAAAAAAUUAAAAUUGGUUUGAUUUUUUUUGAAACCCAAAGGAAAAAAAAACGAAAUUAACUUGAUCUCAAAUCAGAUAAGAGUACCCGCUGAACUUAAGCAUAUCAAUAAGCGGAGGAAAAGAAACUAACUAGGAUUCCCUCAGUAACGGCGAGUGAAGCGGGAAGAGCUCAAAUUUGAAAUCUUCAAGGUUUUACCUUGACGAAUUGUAGUUUAAAGAAGUGUUUUCUGUUGGAGUUUUGGUAAAAGUUCUUUGGAAAAGGACAUCAUAGAGGGUGAGAAUCCCGUAUUUGACCAUUAUCUCCAGCUUUGUGAUACACUUUCAAAGAGUCGGAUUGUUUGGGAAUGCAGUCCAAAAUGGGUGGUAAAUUUCAUCUAAAGCUAAAUACUGGCGAGAGACCGAUAGCGAACAAGUACCGUGAGGGAAAGAUGAAAAGAACUUUGAAAAGAGAGCUAAACAGUACGUGAAAUUGUCAAAAGGGAAGCGUUUGACACCAGUGUUGUUUUCUCGAAAAUCAAUUAAAAAAGGCCGGAUUUUGUGUUGUAUUGACUUUAUCAGCUUUCUGCACUCUUUUCUUGUCUUUUUUAAUGCACUUUUCGUUUAACAAGUCAACAUCAAUUUCUUUUGUUGUAAAAGGGUCAUUGGAAGGUGGCUUUCUUUUCGGAGAAAGUGUUUAUAGCCUUUGGCCUCUGCAAUCGGAGAGAUUGAGGUCUGCAGCGUAGAUCCUUCGGGGUUAGAUACAUUUGUGCUAAGUUAUAGCCUUUCAUAGACAACUUGUUGACUAUGAUCAGUCAUGUAGCUUACUCGCUUAUGCUAUUU